rnacentral:rRNA from 1 species
AUUGAACGCUGGCGGCAGGCCUAACACAUGUAAGUCGAACGAGUGGCGGACGGGUGAGUAAUGUCUGGGAAACUGCCUGAUGGAGGGGGAUAACUACUGGAAACGGUAGCUAAUACCGCAUACCAUCGGAUGUGCCCAGAUGGGAUUGGCUAGUAGGUGGUGUAAAGGCUCGCCUAGGCGACGAUCCCUAGCUGGUCUGAGAGGAUGACAAGCCACCCUGGAACUGAGACACGGUCCAGACUCCUACGGGAGGCAGCAGUGGGGAAUAUUGGACAAUGGGCGCAAGCCUGCUGCAGCCAUGCCGCGUGUAUGAAGAAGGCCUUCUGGUUUUAAAGUACUUUCAGCGGGGGGGCGUUACCCGCAGAAGAAUCACCGGCUAACUCCGUGCCAGCAGCCGCGGUAAUUC